CAGCCGCCGCGGUAAUACGGAGGAUCCAAGCGUUAUCCGGAAUCAUUGGGUUUAAAGGGUCCGUAGGCGGUCUUGUAAGUCAGUGGUGAAAGCCCAUCGCUCAACGGUGGAACGGCCAUUGAUACUGCAGGACUUGAAUUAUUGGGAAGUAACUAGAAUAUGUAGUGUAGCGGUGAAAUGCUUAGAGAUUACAUGGAAUACCAAUUGCGAAGGCAGGUUACUACCAAUUGAUUGACGCUGAUGGACGAAAGCGUGGGUAGCGAACAGGAUUAGAUACCCCUGUAGUCCCUGUCUCUUAUAA
rnacentral:rRNA from 1 species